rnacentral:rRNA from 1 species
AUGAACGCUAGCGGCAGGCCUAACACAUGCAAGUCGAGGGGCAGCACAGGUAGCAAUACUGGGUGGCGACCGGCGGAUGGGUGCGUAACGCGUAUGCAACCUACCAUUGAUUGGGGCAUAGCCCGAAGAAAUUCGGAUUAAUACUCCAUAAUAUUCAUCAAAGGCAUCUUUUAUGAAUUAAAGCUUUUGCGAUCAAUGAUGGGCAUGCGUGACAUUAGUUAGUUGGUGAGGUAACGGCUCACCAAAACGAUGAUGUCUAGGGGUUCUGAGAGGAUUAUCCCCCACACUGGUACUGAGACACGGACCAGACUCCUACGGGAGGCAGCAGUGAGGAGUAUUGGUCAAUGGACGCAAGUCUGAACCAGCCAUGCCGCGUGCAGGAUGACGGCCCUAUGGGUUGUAAACUGCUUUUCCACGGGAAGAACCCUCCGACGUGUCGGAGACUGACGGUACCGUGGGAAUAAGCAUCGGCUAACUCCGUG